rnacentral:rRNA from 1 species
AUUGAACGCUGGCGGAAUGCUUUACACAUGCAAGUCGAACGGCAGCACGGAGAGCUUGCUCUCUGGUGGCGAGUGGCGAACGGGUGAGUAAUAUAUCGGAACGUGUCCAAUAAUGGGGGAUAACGAGUCGAAAGAUUCGCUAAUACCGCAUACGCCCUACGGGGGAAAGCAGGGGAUCGUAAGACCUUGCGUUAAUGGAGCGGCCGAUAUCUGAUUAGCUUGUUGGUGAGGUAAAGGCUCACCAAGGCGACGAUCAGUAGCUGGUUUGAGAGAACGACCAGCCACACUGGAACUGAGACACGGUCCAGACUCCUACGGGAGGCAGCAGUGGGGAAUUUUGGACAAUGGGGGCAACCCUGAUCCAGCCAUUCCGCGUGAGUGAAGAAGGCCUUCGGGUUGUAAAGCUCUUUCGCAAGGGAAGAAAACUUAUGAUCGAAUAAAUCAUGAGGUUGACGGUACCUUGAUAAGAAGCACCGGCUAACUACGUGCCAGCAGCCGCGGUAAUACGUAGGGUGCGAGCGUUAAUCGGAAUUACUGGGCGUAAAGCGUGCGCAGGCGGUUUUGUAAGUCGGAUGUGAAAUCCCCGGGCUCAACCUGGGAACUGCGUUCGAAACUGCAAGGCUAGAGUGUGUCAGAGGGGGGUAGAAUUCCACGUGUAGCAGUGAAAUGCGUAGAGAUGUGGAGGAAUACCAAUGGCGAAGGCAGCCCCCUGGGAUAACAC